AUAACAUUAUUGUGGCAUCUUCUAUCUGUUGGUUAAUAGUGAUGUCGUCGAGUCUGGAGGCAGCACUGCAAAAACUGGCGUGAUGACCAUCAAGGAGCAUCACCAUGACCUUCUCGACUACGCCAUUUUGUCCUUGCUCGCCUCCAUCUCGUAUUUUGUCUUACAAGCUUUGGCCUUCUUCACCUUUUUUAGCACCAAACAU
rnacentral:lncRNA from 1 species